rnacentral:lncRNA from 1 species
AAGAAGAGCUUCCAAACCUUCUUCUCCUUCUUCUCCUUCCUUUUCUUCCUCUCUUUUUUCUUCUUCUUCCUUCUCUUUUCCUUUUCUCCUUCUUCUCCUUCUAUUCGGCUAGAGAGAGAGAGUAGAGAGAGAGUGAGCUGAGGAGAGUGAGAGGCUGAGAGAGAGGGGUUUAAGUCCUCUAUUGUAACAAAAUCCCGAAAAGCCCCUCUAUUUUCUAAUUUUCCAAACUGAUCCUGCUGUUCGUGCGCCCUUGUACCGGUACACAGGAUCUUGUUCCGGUACAAGGCCUGGGUGACAGCAAAACAGAGCGCAACCCGAGAGCUCGGGUUCUCGGUUUCGCAGAGCUUGUACCGGUACAAGCCCCUUGUACUGGUACAGCGCCUGAAGCCUUCAAACCCGAGAGCUACGCAGCCUGGCUGCGAUGGUUGUACCGGUACAACCAUCACCCUUGUACCGGUACAGCAGCUCCAGAAUGCUGUUUUAACUUUGUUUCGGCUCCACUUCGCGCCGAUCGAUGUCCAAACCAUUCCAAUACCUUUAGAACUCACUUUUGCUCUUUCAAACUUGUCGGAAUGCCGAAUGGAACUUGUCCAAAUCGUUUAAUCGCCCACUUUGCCCCAUUUGGCCAAAGUUAGCCGACGUCGUCGAAUUUCGAUAUCGUACACAUCAAGUUGGAGAAGAAGCUUGGAGGAGCUCUCUAAUGAUGGACCAUGUUUCUUGACCAUGAUGCCUAAGGUGAGAUUAAUGGAUUUGAGUUAGGAGUUGGAUUAAGUCCUUUACAAUUGAUGUGAUUGAGAUCUCUAUGUGAUUCCAAACUAGCUUCGUUGAAGAUUGAACAUGGAUUUUGGAGUGUUCUUGAUGAAAUAGAAACCCUAGGUUGAUAAUAAGGGAUUUUGUGGUUUUGGGGUUUUGAGUUAAAUUGACCUUGUAAAUCUCUAAUUGCAGGGUAGCUCGACACGAGGGACUACUCCAAUGUGGAUUUCGGCGAGGCUAUGUUGUCUAAUUUGGAGAUUUUGUCGAAUUUCAUUCGUUAGGCUUGGGUCGAGCCAAAUCGAUGUCAAAAAUCGAAUGUUUGGAAAUCCUAGCAAUUGGUAAUUAAACGAGGUCGGUGGUGCUCUCCAAAAUGGUUGGAUUUUUCUUUAUGUCUAAACUCCAUUCGUUGUGCAUGUAUGUGUGAGAUUGUGUAUGAUAGGGUUCAAUUACUUAUUCUUUCUAGAAGCUUGCAUGCCUCCUAAAUUAGAUAUGAAUGAUUGUAAUGGAAAACUUGGAAUUUAGGAUCCAUUAGUAUGGUGUCGUGUGAACCCUUGUGAUACAAGAACUAGUUGAUUGGUCAUAUGUGUAUAUAUGUGAAAUUCUAUGCAUGUAGGGUUAAUAUUGUGAUUGAGCUUUCAAUUUUCUUGCAUGCUUUCUAAAAUAGGGUUCGACAAAUUUGAUUGAGAACUCGGACAUUGGAUGUAUGAGGAUUGGGUCGUGGGACAUUGGAACCUUAUGAAUGCAAAGAACUAGACUAUAAACUUAGAAAACAUUGUGGAAUGUUGGACAUGAACUUAGUGGCAUCUUUGACUAGUUGUUUGGAUAUAGAAAACAAAGUGAAAUACUAGGUGUCAUUGUGAGUCUAAACAUGAGCCUAAAGACGGAAAUAUGGUUGGGUAUCCUAUUUUGCAAGUAGAGAACAUGAACGUCGUGUGUCAUGAUUGUAUAAGUGAGUUUGUUGUCGUAGUUGCGCAAGAUUUGAGAUGAGCAUAUUAGGGAUUGGUAGACCCCCGUGUGUUGUUACUGUUGUUACCUUGGUUAGGAGUGUGUUCUCGAGAUAAGAGGACUGGAUCGUACUAACACAUAGUAUGUAACACACUGGACCUUUGCAAAUUGCGAGGUUCGAGUGAUUGGAUGUGUUUCGAGCUUUUCCACACUUGGUGGAGGGUCGUAGAAUGUUUUCCGAUCCAAAAAGUUCGAAAACUUGAGUUUUGGACGAAACCUGAGAGUUUUUACUCUCGGGGACCGGUCCCUGAUAGGAGAGACCGGUCCCCCAGUGAGCAGUGUUGCGGUAGCCUCGGGGCAACCGGUCCCUGGCGGGCGAGACCGGUCCCCGAGCGCGUCUGCGCGGGAAGAGACCGGUCCCGUGCGGGGAGAGACUGGUUCCCGAACGUGGUUUUUCUGGGGGCAGGCCGAGAGACCUGUCCCAUGUCGGGGAGACCGGUCCCUCAGCCCGAAAACUGCCCAGACCGGGCUUUGCACAGGAUGCAAAGUUGAGGGGUUUUUCUGGAUUUUGUUACACUAGAUGACCUAUAUGGCCACUCCACUCUCUCUUCUCCUCAUUUCUUUCCUCACACUCUCCCCACACUCUUGUUAGAGAGAGAAGAAGGAGAAGAAGAAGAAGGAGAAGAAGAGGAGGGGGAUCUAGCUUGGACUUGGAGCAAUUUCUUUGCCUUUCUUUCUCUUCCCACCUUGUUGGUGCUUGGAGGCUUGGACUUGGAGCUUGCAAGAGAGGAGAUCUUCACCUUUGGAGCUUGGAUUGGAGUUUCUAAAGAGGUUAGUUGCUAAUUUCCCUCCUCUAGACCUUGAUUUGUUGGUUUUUAGGAGAUGAAACCCUAGAAUGGGAUUUUAGGGUUGAUUUUGGACAUUUUGAUUUUAGGGCUUUUGAGGCUCGAUUACUUGGUUUAGAAUCUUCCUUUGGGUUGGAUUGGAAGGAUUCUAGCUCUCUUUUGGAGCUUGAGAGAGAUUUUCUACUCCCUAGGUGAGUUUUUGCCAUUUUCUUGUGAUUGUUAAUGUUUGAGCCUAGAGUUGCUCGUAACGCUUGUGUAUCUCUUCGCUCACUACUUUUAGGGUAUUUUGAGACUCGUGGACAACUUCGUUCGGCGAAACGAGGGGCUACGCGAUGGUUCGGUGGGUUUGACCUAGCCACACAAUGAGAAAAUCUCAUUUGUGAUGAUUUGAGUAUCGUUAAAUAAAAAAGCAUGCAUAAUCAUGUUAGAUAUAUUUAUUAUGAAUUUUAGAAUGCUUAACAUGCAUAUGUUAUGUAUAGUAAAUUUUGGACCUUCAUGUGGUAGGGUGCAUGCAUGUGAGAUAUAGCAUUCUAGUUCAGACUUGGAACCAUGAUUUCUAUUAUGAAAAUGAACAUUGCUUUCAUGCAUUUAACCUUUAUGCCCAAUUGUGACACUAGGGACUUUGGAAGCCUAGAGAGGCUUGGGGACUUAGACUAUUUGAGAUUUUGGGCCAAUGUCAUAAAGAGGCAUUGGACUCCAACCUUAGUGAGCAUCGGUAUUAAUGUCUUAAAUGAGAAUAUAGAACAUGAUUUGGGCUUGAUUAGUUGUGGUGCUUGAGUGUCAUAAAGAGGCACGAAGCAAGUGAGUGUUGGGUUAUCACAUUGUGACAUAGAGCUAGACCGUUGGGUCACUAGUAGCUAUUGCCAUGUUUGAGACAUGAGAGUUGGAUACUUGAGCUUUGAUUACGCUUGUUUGCCAUUUGUGCUCAUUCGCACAUGCUUGUGAGGGUCGCUCCCUGCAAGCCGACACUCCGGAGUUAGCCUACGCGACUUAUGUUCGCUCGUGCGGUAUUGAGAAGCCUACGGGGUCGAGUGGGACAGACACAUUCCAAGAGUAGGAAUGUUGGGCUACCACAGGCACUUAGGCGGCACAAGAUGGACUACCUUGGGUAGGUCCUUAAUUGGAAAUGGAAAUCGACACAGUGUGUUGAGUGUGUUAUGAUCACUACUAGAUAGAGAGUAGUAGUUAGAUUACUUGGACUUGCUUCUAGCAUAGUUUUGGACGCUUGGGUAUACAUACAUACAUGUAGUAUGCUAGAAGAUGUUGCUUAUUGCAUUCAUAUAUACAUUGUUGCCAUGAUAAAGCGUGACCUUCAUAACUUCAUAAAGUAAAUCGUGAUAUUUACUUGUGGCCAUGUAGAGACAUAUUGCUUAUGACAAAGUAAAGGUGCAUCAUUUUAACACCAUAUGUAAUUGCAAUGUAGUAUCUUAGCAUUUUAAUUAUGCUUUCUUAAAUGCAAUUAUUUAUUAUUAUUGCUCUCUUUUUGACUUACCCUUUCUUUGGAGCCUAGUGGUGCAUUGAGCUGAGAUCAGUAAUUGCCCAUUGGGAACUAUAAAUUAUAGUUCUCACGCCCUCUGUUUUAUGUUUUCUUUCAGAGCCUUCCAUGCCGGGAGAGGCUAGGGACCGUGGGAAGGGCGUUGCUUCGAGCUAGCUCUUCAGCGAGUGACGAGUUCUAGGUGGUCUACCUCUCGAUAUAUUUUAUUUUAGAGAGGUUGAGAGCUGUACCAGUGUACUAGAGACCACCCUUUUGUGUACCUUUUGGACAGAUAUUGUAUAUCUAUAUGUUUCACUCUUAUUGCUCUAGUAUACCUCUUUUACCUUGUUAUAGACUAUAGAUCUAUCUGUGCUCUGAUAUCUUUAAAUGUAGAUUACUUUUGAUUUUAUUUUUCGCUGUUGUUGUAGACGCCUUAUAUGUGCUGACAUAUGGCGGGUCUGGGCACGCUACCGGGAGGGCCUCUGCCGGUCCCGGAGCGUGACAUAGUAUGUCCAGCUUGUUGGUGGUCGUGGCACCACAAGUAGUGAGCUCCGGAGUCGUCACACAUAGGUUGAGGGUUAUCUCCCCACAGACUGCCCUAUAUGGUUGAGUGGCUGUCUUCUUGCGGGCCAAGUAUGUGAGUGGGUUCGACCUUCAGAUGAGCCGGUAAGAUUGGGUCAUGAGGUAAAAGAGAAAGUCACUUGAGCAUAGUAGAUCUUGUCUUUAAGUAUAGUAGUAUCAUAUGACAGGUGACGAGUCGAUUAUGCCUCCUCCGUAGACGGUUUGCGUUGGGUUGAACAGUCAUCUCCUCAGUAGACGAUCUAGAGAAGGGAGUUUUGCAUGACUUCGCGUGAGCCGGUAUGAUUGGGUAAAAGGUAAAAAUGGUAAACAUCUUGAGCAUAAUAGUUGCAAAGGCAUAGUUGUGUUUAUUCCAGUUAUGCAUAGUGUAGUUAUUGUACUACUUUCUUGUUUAUUUAUUUACUUAUAGCUUGAUAGACCUAGUAGAAAAAUCGGCGAGGUUGGCGGCAAAACCUACUAGGAACUUCUUUUAGUUCUCACUCCCUAUUUUGCAGAGCCAACCAUGGGCAGAGCGACAUCGGACCGAGGCGCGUGUGUUGUAUCCUAGAUAGCUGGGUCACCGCGUAUAGGUCACCCUUGUACAAGUAAAAGAAUGUAAAGGUUUAUUUGAAAUGGAAAUGUAAUUGGAAGUGUAAUUGUAUUUUGAGGAGUUUAUGUAUUAUGUAAAGUGAAAAAGUAUAUGCAAAAUGUGAAUGUUUCAAUGUUGUGAUAGUUAGGUUUACAUUCUCUCUCUUGUAAUAUGCCCUCGUGCAAAAAUGUAUUAUGUUAUUUUUUCUGUGUGAAAAUUAAUGUACUUGUUUUGCAUACGCCUUGGGCGGACAGAAAAAAUUUUGUCUGUUCGGCGGUCUAUGAACGUGCUCGAGCCGAGCAAAGUGGCGGCCUCGGGACGUGACAGUAGCAGUAGCGCCUCAAUGAGUUUUUGGCACUGGUCAUCUCCUUGAUAGCUUUUAAUCACCUCUGAAAUCCAGCUAGGGAUGGCUGUGGUUAUAGCUGAACUCUACCCUUUUUCGGUUCUCGCCUGGAUAGGGAGUCUGCAGCUUUAUUUUCCUUAUCGGCCUUGUAGUGUAUCACGUAGUCUAACCCCAUCAACUUCACCAUGCCAUUCUGUUGUAUCGCCAUUGUAAUUCUUUGUUCUAGCAAGUAUUUCAAGUUUUGAUGGUCGGUUUUGAUUAUGAACCUUCGGAGGCUAAAGUAGUGUUUCCACUUGUUCACGGCCAUCAAUAUUGCUAUGAAUUCUUUCUCGUAAGUCGACAAUCCCAAGUUUCUUUUGUUGAAGGCCUUGCUAAGGUAGGUUAUCGGCUUUCCCUCUUGCGAUAAAACGGCCCCCAUUCCCUGCUUGCAUGCAACUACUUCGAAGGUGAAGGUUUUAGUGUAGUCGGGCAAGGCUAACAUCGGAGCUCUUGUCAUCACUUCCUUCAAAUUAUCAAAUGCGGCCUGAGCCUCCGUUCUCCAUCUAAACUGAUCCUUCCUUAGCAACUCCGUCAAGAGUUUGCUCAAUUUUUCAUAAUCCUUGAUGAAUCUCCUGUAGUACCCCGUAAUGCCUAAGAACCUUCUUAAUCCCUUGAGCGAAGUAGGAACCGGCCAAUUAAUCAUGGCUUCAACGUUGUUUGGAUCUAUGGCGACCCUAGUUUCUGUUAUAACAUAUCCCAAGUAGUCGACCUUUUCCUGCUCGAACAGACAUUUGGAGCUCUUCGCAAAUAGUCAAUGCUCGCGGAGAAUACCCAGCACUUCUGUUAAGUGUUCCUCGUGCUCCCUUAAGGUUUGCUACAAAUCAGGAUGUCGUCGAAGAAUACGAGCACAAAUUUUCUGAGAUACUCAGCAAAACUCUCAUUCAUCACAUAUUGGAAGGUGGUUGGCGCGUUGGUUAGGCCAAAAGGCAUGACUAGGAACUUAUAAUGUCUGGAAUGAGUCUGAAAGGCUAUUUUUUAAACAUCUUGCGGGCUCAUCCGAAUCUGAUGGUAGCCGGCCCUCAAAUCCACCUUCGAAAAAUGAAUGGAGCCUCCCAGUUCAUCUAAUAAAUCAUCAAUUAGAGGGAUAGAGUACUUAUGUUUCACUGUGGCCUUAUUAAGUUGUCGAUUGUCGACACAACAUCUCCAAGUGCUGUCCUUCUUCUUAACCAAAAGUAUAGGAGAAGCAUAGGGGCUUGUGCUAGACAUGCCGGAAGAGGACCCAAGGAUGGGGGAUCACCCUGCCAGGUUCUCGAGCAAAAGAGAGGAAAAACAAAUGUGAGGGAGAGGGAGAGAGGUGGUGGCUGUGGCGGCGACUUGCCAGCCAGGGCUUGAUCGGCGGUGGCCGGGAGGCGCGCGGCGCUCGAGGGUGAGGGAGGAGAGGCAGCUAGGGGUCAGCUGGAGCUAGGGUUAGGGUUUGCACCAUGUAAAUCCUAGGUGGCCUUUUAUACAUGAAUGUAUAAUUGCAUAUAAGUACAUCGAAACUCAGUAUUUUUAGUUGAGUCCCUCACAGCGCGAGUAAAACGCGCGGACACACCCCCAUAUUCGAUUUCACACGAAUCCGUACAUAAAAUGUAGGACUUUCCGCAAAAUUUUUGUUUCGCCACUUAUGACCCCUACUCGAUCCCCGCACGAUAUCAGGAGAUCCGUUCGUCAGAUUUACGAACGGACUGGACCAGCGCGUUCGGCACGACUGAGACAUUAAACUCACAAUUUUGUUUCGCCUGGUUUGGUCGCAGAUUCGUGACGAAACCCAACCUCUCUCCGAUUCAACAAAACCACACACAAAUAAAUAAUAUAUAUAUCCAAUAAUUGCCUCCAAGACCUUCCAAUUAGCGAAAACGGGGACAAAGCCCCUCCCAACUAGUCCUCUCUCAAAGAAAGGUCCCCGCCCGAGGAUCCACACACAAAACGGCGCAACGAGAAGUUUUAAAAAGCAAAAACGAUAAAGAACAAAAGUCCACUUUGCGAUAAAAUCUAGUUUUUUCGAAAACCAUGCGUCAAACCCAAAAUCCAUCAGCGCCAAUGGGUUCGGGGCAGUCAGACCGUUGAAAAUGAGAUAUUGGAUCACCAUGAACGGAGUCCAAUACGUGCCAGAAGCCAUCUCUACUCAUUGGCCUCUCCGAAACCCAGGUUACUAUUCACUUUAAGUGAAAAGUAAAGAUCGCGUAACAUCUCCAUUCUAAUUCGUUUUUUUCCAAAACUUGACGAGUGCUUUUGUAAUUAAAAUACACACAAAAAUAUCAUCAACAGAGAGUUUAGUUACACAACAAAAUUCUCAGUCCUCACAAAGAUUUUGAGAGAUAGUUUUGAUUAAGGGAGUGGAAAGUGUUGAACAACGAGGAGGGGUUUUUGUGAUAGUGGAUUUUGAGUAAUUUACUUUGGAAUGGGCUAAUUCGGAAUUCAAAACCGGAUUAGCCAUUUCCAUUCCAUAAUGGAAUAGGAAUCAAAAUUCGAUUUCUAUAAAACAAACAACCAACUAUCGGAAUCAGUAAAUUUUAUUCUGAUUUCAUAGUUUAAAAUAGAUGAACCAAACAUAUCCUAAAAAGGGAUAUAACUUAAAAAAGUUAGUAAAGAAAAGAAGCAACUAGGUAGAUAUAUGUUGGAAAAUAAGUAUACAAACACAAUUUCAGAUGCAACAGUUCUCUCUUAAAUUACAUAUAUUUUUUUAUUAUAUCUUAUAAUAUUUAUAAAAGAUUUUUUAUAUAUCAUAUAUAAAAAUAUUUAAUAUUAAAAAUAACAUUUAAAAAUUCAUUUAUAUUACAUAUUUAAAUAUAACUAAAUUUUAUCUAAUUUUAUUAAUAAUGUACGUAAACGUACAUGUGAGUUGAUCAUACUAGAUUGCCCACCUUUACCAGUUUCUUCAUCUAGAUUGCCGGCUUUUGAAUACUCAUGUUUAUCUGUACAUGAGUAUUCUUAUAUCAUCUGCCUGAGAUAUAUACAUAUAUAUAUAUAUCUCUCUCUCUCUCUCUCUCUCUCUCUCUCUCUCUCUCUCUCUCUCGCGAUCCGACCAUAUGAUAGCCAUCGUGCCUCCGGAGGUAAAAUGGUUCAACAAAAGUUACUACGGCGAAGGUUUAGCUGUUAGCCGAGGCAAUCUAAACUAGAUGUGAUAAUUUUUAUAAACUUUUGAUUUAAAGUAUUAAAAAGUUGUAGUAAAGCGAUCACUAGUUUUCCAGAGUUUUAACUGUUAAAAUUACCAUCUACACUACGUAAACAUUUAAAUUGCCACAUUUUGUUAGGUUUAGUCUACUUUAAACAUAUCUUUCAAGAAAAAUGAUAAAUCUCAUUCUAGUCAUGGAGACUAGAAUUUAAGUUCAGAAGAUAGUAGUACAAAAUACUAUAAAAAUAAAAGUCAGCAAGUAAAAAUCUGAUGAGCAAACUAUCCAUUUACUAUAACUUUUUAAUACUUUAAAUCAAAGGUUUAUGAAAGUUAUCACAUAUAGUUCAGAUUGACUUGGCUAGCAGCUAAACCAUCACCGUAGUAACUUUUGUUGAACCAUCGUGCCUCCGGAGGCACGAUGGCCAUCAUAUGGUCGGAUCGAGAGAGAGAGAGAGAGAGAGAGAGAGAGAGAGAGAGAGAGAGAGAUAUAUAUAUAUAUAUAUAUAUAUAUAUAUAUAUCUCUCUCUCUCUCUCUCUCUCUCUCUCUCUCUCUCUAUAUAUAUAUAUAUAUAUAUAAACUNUCUCUCUCUCUCUCUCUCUCUCUCUCUCUCUCUCUCUAUAUAUAUAUAUAUAUAUAUAUAUAUAUAUAUAUAGGCUGGAAUACUAUCAAUAGCACCAAGCUAUUGGUGCCAUUAGUUAUUUAGCCCUUGGAUUGAGAAAUGUGCGGUUAGGAUGAACUGAGCCCUUUAGGGUUGAGUGGGUUCUUGGUUGAAUAGUAUAAUCUAACGGGUAAAAAUAAUCAAAGAGUUAAAUCUAACAGUGGAAAACUCGAUAGCAUCAAGCCCUUGGUGCUAUCGAAAUCCCAACUGAACUCUAUAACUCACUCUCUCUCUCUCUCUCUCUCUCUAUCUAUCUAUCUAUCUAUCUAUCUAUAUAUAUAUAUAUAUAUAUAUAUAUAUAUANNNNNNNNNNNNNNNNNNNNNNNNNUAUAUAUAUAUAUAUAGAGUAAGUCUCCUGUACUUUCGAAAGUACGGAGACCUCCGUGCUUGUAAGUUGUUUUCGAUGAUAGGAAAUCCGAUUCGAUGAUCGGCUCCGUUAAAUAUAAUCUACCGUAUUGGAACUACUUAGAAACCAAAUUUUAUAAUUUUUGACAUCAUUUACCAAGCGAUCAAAAGGUCUCAAAAUGACUAUUUUAAAGGCUGAUGUGGCACGUUUUUAAGUUCAACGGUGUAGAAGUAUCCAAAUUAGAUGAAAAUUUAAUAGAAAAUUAUACUUAACAUCAAUAGCAAGACUAAUACUUUUGAUUUGAAAUUUGAGUCAUUUAUCACUGUUUUUUAUGAGGUUUUUAUUUUCAGCCAUUCAUUUUGAGGCUACUCAUUUACUAGACAAACAAAAUAAAAAAAUUAUGAAAUUUGGUUUCUAGGUAGUUCCAAUAGUGUAGAUCAUGUCUAACGGAACCGAUCACCGAAUUGGAUGUCCUAUUAUUGAAAACAAUUUACAAGUACAGAGGCUUCCGUACUUUCGAAGGCAUAGAAGCCUAGCUCUCUCUCUCUCUCUCUCUCUCUCUCUCUUUAUAUAUAUAUAUAUAUAUAUAUAUAUAUAUAUAUAUAUAUAUAUAUAAAGUUAGGCUGGAAUACUAUUGAUAUCAAAAGGUUCUUUUUGCUAUUAAACUUUUAACCCUUGGAUGAGAAAUUGUAGGGUAAGGAUGAUAUUAGCCCUUUAGGGUUGAGUGGUCCCUCUAGGUUGUAGUGUACCGAAUCCUCGGUGCGCCAAACUGAACUUUAGUCAAAUUGACCAAAGUGUGGUAAUGGACGCUUUGGAGAGGUCCGUUGAAUGUUCCGAAUGAUCAGAAUGGUUUAUAUGGGUACAAAGGACCUUGGAGAGCAAGAUAUGAAAUUUUCAAAAUUUUGUGCUGGAAAUGCUCUUGGGGUCCGGACCCUGGCUAUAGGGUCCGGACCCCGUACGCGUGAAAGGUCGGGGUUGAGCAAAGUGUCAUUUGCGUGAGGGGCUAAGUGCAUUUGUCGAUAUACAAAGGUGCUAGGCACAACAUAAGGUAUAUGCAGGAUAAUAACAGGAAAAAAAGGUAAGAAGAUGUCACCGAGCGUGCACCACUGUACCGAUUUCGGGUCGAAGUACCUACCUGUACGUGCGUAGGUCUAGUCUCCUGACUGUGGAAGAAUAUCAGCCGGACCUACAAACGGUCCAUCAGGUUAGAAUUCAACCUACAAAUACAAACCACUAACUCACAAUCCCCACAUGUAAACCCACGGGAAUCGAUUUUCUAAAACCGAUUGCCAUAACACGCUGGAAGUCCCGAAAAUCGCACCGGGACUCCGCCAGGACCCACGAACUGUCCCGGAACUCACCGACUCGUGUCACAAGUCACCCGCUGCCACCAAACACAAUUAUUUGUGUGACCAAGCAGCAAACACACAUCCUCACAUCGAAACGAUUAUCGUCGGAUAAUCGUUCUGAUCCGGUUUCCCGGAAGUGUCAAUUUCGACACUGGAACCCACCGUCGCUCACCUGUCGUUUCUGGACCCUCGAAAUGACGCGAGUGACCAGCCAACAAGGCUCAGCGACUAUAUAAUUUUUUGUGAGGCACCGUCGGAAGAAUUCUGAACCGAAAUCGCGUUCCAUCGGCGAAUUUCGUCGAAAAACGCACUGAAAAUCAACAUUCGAUUUUCGAAAAGGCCUGGGGCCUUGGACAACUAGUUCAGAGGUCACCCGCUGCCCGCACAUGCUGCCAACAGCGACCACGAAAUAUAAAAUUACAUAAAAAUCCCUGCGACUACAUAAAAUCACAUCAUUUUAUGUGAUUUUCGGGGUUUUACGGCCCGAUAGCGGAAACCAAGGACUUUGGAGUCUAGCCGAGACACCCGCUGACAUGUCUCGGCGUGUCAGAGGCCGUGCUCACACUUUGGAGCAUGGUCGGCCACUGUGGAGGGCGUGGGUGCGACACAGAAUUCAGUGAAUACCGCGCACAGCAUGAAAAACAUGCUUAUCUCGCAAACCAGGGGCUCGUGGAUCCCAACGAAGGUGAUCACGAUGAUCAGCACUGAUCUAGGAUCAUCGUGCUUACCUUCGAAAGCCUCGGGGUGGCCCCAGGUCACCAGAAACCCGAACCUGAGACAGUGCGCAGAAACCAUUAACUUAAGCUUACCGGAGCUAGGUGGAGCACGGGCGGCCCGCGGCGGCCGGAUGGAGGGCGCGCCGACAGGGAUGGGUGCGGCUGGUCAGUGCGGGACAGGGCUCGCGUCGGCAGGUGACGGGAGGCGGCGGUGACGGCGGGCAACGAUGCCCUAGCCGCACGAGAUCAAGGGAGGCUUCCGGCCGGCAAGGGCUCCGGCGGCGGAGGCGCAAGCGGCAGCCGAGUGCGCCCGACCCAGGGGAGGCGGCGCGCGGGUCGUCCGGUGACGGAAGGUAGCGGCGGUGGCUCUAGAGCAACUCAAGCCCGCGCGUGCUCGGCUCGGGUUCAGCCGGUCACAGCGGCCAACGCGGUAACCGAGGAGCUACGGGGCGACGACGGUGGUUCGCGAGAGGCCGGAGGGAGGCGGCCCAGGUGGUGCCGAGCGGUGGUAGCAGCGGCGGAGCACCCUGAACCCGCACCUCAAAAACUUGGCUCGGGUUCAGCCAUGCCGGCCUCGGCGGCAGCUAGGCCGCCUCGGGGCGGCGGCGACGGGACAUCAAGGGUCGCCGGAGGCCAAGGGAGGGCGGCGCGGCCAGUCCCAAGCGGCGACGGCGCGAGGAGAGGGAGAUCUCGCAGCCUCGGCCAGAUUUGCCCAGAUCUGGCCGCAACUUGCCAAGGCGGCGGCGCUUGGGGGAAGCGGCGACCGACGGAGAAGGUUUGCCGGGGUUGGGUCCUGCUAUCAGAGGUGGAGCCCGUGGGUGUGGGGCCUCCUUGGCAGCAGUACAAGCAGAAAUGAAGGAAGAUGGUGCUGGAAACAAUAGAGGAGAGGAACGAUGACUGCUUUCCGGCGGCCGGCGACGUGCGCAAGCGGCCGGGGCGCGCGCGGCUAGGGCAGGGGGAGGUUCAGAGGGUCGCAGGGAGGUUGGCUGAGGGAGGAGGUCAACAAGGUUAGGGUUUCCUCUAUGAAACCCUAAAUGACACUAUAUAUACAAGUCACCAAUUUGUCGAUAAGUCCUCCGAAACUCAGUAUUUUCAUUUGAGUCCCUCACAGCGCAUGUAAAAUGCACGUACGAAUCUCCAUGUCUGAUCUCACGCGAUUCGGUAUAUAAAAUAUAGGGGGUUUCGCACGAGAUAUAAAAAUGUCAUUUUGACCUCUCCUCCAUAAUCACACGAUAUCCGGCGAUCCGUCCAUCGAAUUUGCGAACAGAUCGCACUAAUGCGAUCAGCACGACAGGGGCAGCAACUCAUGAUUUUGUUUCGUUUGGUUUGGUUGCAGAUUCAUGCCGAAACCCAUCCUCUCACCAAUAGGCAAAACCCGUACACAAAUACGUAGAAAACAUGUAUCUUCAGUUUUCUCGAAAGCCGUGUGUUAGAUCUGAAAUCCGUCAGUGCCAUUGGGUUCAGGACAGUCGAACUAUCAAAAACGAGCUAUUGGAUCACUAUGAACGAAGUCCAAUACGCACCAGAAGCCAUCUCCAUUAAUUGGCCUCUCCAGAAAAUCGGAGUUACUAUUCACUUUAAGUGAUUAGUACAGGUCGCGUAACUUUUCCAUCCUAACUCGUUUUCUCCUGAAACUUGACGAGUGUUUAUGUAAUUAAAUUAUACACAAAAAUAUCGCAACACAGAGUUUAGCUACACAGUCAAAUUCUCAGUCCUUACAUAUACAUAUAUACAUACAUACAUACAUACAUACAUACAUACAUACAUACAUACAUAUAUAUAUAUACAUAUAUAUAUAUAUAUAUACAUAUAUAUAUAUAUAUAUACAUAUAUAUAUAUAUAUAUACAUAUAUAUAUACACAUAUAUAUAUAUAUAGAGUGACGCUAGAAUACUCUCGAUUAGUAAACGAGCCCGUUUACUAUCGAUUGUUUUCGAUAUAGCAGCUUCCAAUUGACAAUCGGCUCCGUUGAACAUUGGAUUUAUACCACUUGAGUGUUAGAAAUCAAAUUUCAAAUCUUUUUCGACAUCAUUUGCUAAUGAUCAAAGGGUUCAAAAUUGUAAUUUUAAUGGUGGAUCAAGAGACUUUUCCGUUAACGCUUUAAGACUACCAAAUCAAUUGAAUAGUUGUUAGAAAAUUUUUAGACUAUUUAAAGACAAGAUCUAUACUCUUGAUCUUAGAUUACAGACUCCUAUCAUCAUUUUUUUAAGAGAAUUAUUCAUUUCAGCCAUUCAUUUUUCUGUUCACUAGAUGGAUAAAAAACGUAAUAUCGAAAGUCGCGUGAAAAUUUGUAUUUCUAGGUAGUUUAAAUAUUUAGAUCAUAUUAACGGCCUAUCGUCAAUUGGAGCUUAUCAUCGGAAAACAACUCGAUAGUAAAGUGUUCGUUUAUCUAAUCGCCAGCGAGUAUUCUAGCUCAACUUCUAAUAGUACUAAUAUUAACAUAAUAUAUAUAUAUAUAUAUAUAUUUAUAUAAUACAUAUAUAUACAUACAUAUACAUAUAGUAUAUAUAUAUAUAUUAACAUAUAUAUAUAUACAUAUAUUAUAUAUAUAUAUUAUAUACACACAUAUAUAUAUAUAUACACAUAUUAUAUAUAUAUAUAUAUACACAUAUAUAUAUAUAUACAACUAAGCUGGAAUACUAUUAAUAGCACUUGUGACUUGGUGCUAUUAAGUUUUCUGCCCUUAGAUUAAAAGAUGUGCGGUUAGGAUGAUGUGGGCCCUCUGGAGUUGAGUGGGUAGUUGGUUGAAUAGUAUAAUUGAACGGAUGAAAAUGAUAAAAGAGGUAAGUCUAACGGCAAAAAAAUUGAUAGCACCAAAUGCUUCGUGCUAUCGAUAGUAUCCCAGCCGGACUCUAUAUAUACAUACAUACAUACAUACAUACAUACAUACAUAGAGUCCGGCUACUAUACUCUUAUGAGUACGAUCGCAUUCAUACUCAUAAGUUGUUUUCAGUAAUAGAGCUUCCAAAUCGACGAUCCAGACCGUUAAACAUUAUCUAGAUCAUUUAAAACUUCUAGAAAUCAAAUUUCGUAAUUUUUCGAUAUCAUUACCUUACGAUCAAAAGCUCACAAAAUUGGCAAUUUUUAAAGGUCGGUACGUGAUACUUGCUAGUUUAACGGUGUAAAAGAAUGGGAAUAGAUAGAAUUUUUGAUAGAAAAUUCUAUUCAUUACCUAGAUAAAGAUCAAAAACCUAGAUCUUAAAUUGAAGGAUCCGAUCAUCCAUUUUUAAGACAUCGUUCAGUUUUGACCGUUUAUUUUAUAUCCGCUUGAUGGACUUUAUAAUGAUUUCGAAAAAUUACAAAAUUUUAUUUUCUAGAAGUUUCAAAUAACGUAUAUAAAAGAACACACACACAAAGAAAGCACACGAUAAAAACUUCAUAAAAGACGGAGACGCAAAUCAAUAGGAGACAUCUACUUACACCCUACGUCGACCCAAAACAACAUCAGACACCCAAAAGAAAUAAAUGUGUCCAUGCCAUUCCGCCAAGCUGGUAAAUAACCCCCUGCAACCUCGCACACCCCGAAAAUAAACACAAAGCAACAAUAAGACAACCAUAAGCCAACUACUGGGGAGUUUCCGGCUACCGGAUGCGAGAUCCUGGAAAAUACGAUAAAGGUUGAGCCAACAAAUAAAUUAAACUCUCAGGAGCCCUCCCAAUAUCUUACAGCAGAAAAUCGCAAAAAAGCUACAACACUAAGGAUAAGAGCAGGACCCCGCCCACUUCUCCGGACAGACCAAUCAAUACACAAAAACCUUCAAAACAAAAAAAGAAAACCCAACCACAAAUUCAGGAAAACAAAAACAAAACACAAUAAUAACAAGGAAAUACCUCGCCGGCCACCACCAGAAGCAUCAGCACCCCCGCUACUAGUAACCUUCUCCCUGUGGCUUCAACGUAAACCGCCCACGCUCAUAAUUCCUAAAGUCAGACAAGGCCCGCCACGAGGCUAAACCAUAUGACAUGCUCUCUAGGCUGACUGUCCUGAAAGGCAGACUGCGUGCAUUGAAGUCAAAAAUCAGUAGUGUCAUGCUGAGCUCCCGAUUGGACGAGACAGAAAAAAAAAACAUAGAUAAGAAACUCAUAGCUCCAAUCCGACAGCGCCCACGCAAUUAAACAACAGCCCUUACCAAGCCGUAAGAGAAUAAAACCUCGCUCCGACCACUAGCCCAGCGACGUGAAAUCAAUUAUCAAGGCCACAACCUAACCCAGUAAUGCAUGAUUGCUUCUAUGUCCGCAUCGCCGGCCCGGCUAAAAAAAAAAGCGUGGGCAUCCCAACAAGAGAGCUCCGGCGUGCCUGGUUGAAACCACACCGGUGGUUUGGCCGCAGCCGUUGGCUCCCUGUACGACCCGGAUCUCUCAUGUUGCCGGUUCUGGGCCGGAAGCCUCAGCGUCCGUUAGAGGGUGUGUGGUGUUCUUUGGGUCUCUGGUAUUAACUCACGGUGCCUUCAAGGCACUCGUCCGCCCGUGGCAAGUAACGACGCUGGGCCAUUUUACUGGCGAAGAUGAGAACCGCCUUACCGCUCCCCUGCUGAUCGCGAGCCACGAGACCCUCUGACCUGCCGUACCUGGCCCCUGGCCGGCUCUUCCCGCCGCUCCCGGCCGAGCCGCGCCACGCGUUACCUCCCGACGCCGUGCCUAGCUCCGUAAGCUAGCAUGGCUUUAUUUGUGCACUGCUUUGGGGUUGUAGUACACUUUCGCAACCCGAGGGCUUGUUCCGAUGCCUUCCGGCGAAGUGAGCACGGUGAUCUCAUCAGUGCUCGAUCACAGUGCUCACCUCAUCGGGGUCACACGAGUGUCGAUUGUGUCAUUUUGAAGUGUUUUAGUUCAGCGCAUGGCAGUUUUUGCUGAAGUUUCGCGUCGCCUUGUGGCGCGUCGGCCACUGCGCCGCCAACAGCUCGGCGAACAGGUGACACGGCCUUCGUCACGCCGAGACCUGCCACAGAUGUCUCGGUUUGGCUAUGAUUUCGCUAAAGUUUUGUAGACGGACACCAUAAAGCGGCCCAAAUCGCAUGAAAUAAUCAUUAUCGGCGUAAUCCGGGAGGCUUUUAUGGAUUAUGGUUUUGCGGCGCUGUUGCAGGCAUGGUGACGAGGUAACCAUUUGGACUGAUUGUCCAAGGCCCCGACCCUUGCGACAGAUCGAAAAGUAUUUUCGUGGCGUUUGUGCCGGCAAAGAUCCGCCGACGAGACCGGUUUGGUUCGGAGAUUAUUCCGACUGUGCUCCGUGAGCUUUUGUGUAGUCGCUGAGAAACUGUGGCUGGUCCACCAUCGCGUCAUUUCGAGAUUUCAGAAAUACGAGUGAGGCGACGGUGGGGUUCGGCGGUGUCCGAAAUUGACAUUCUCAGAACCCGGAUCCCACAAUUAUCCACCAAUAGUUUUUGUUGUGUAUCUUGUGUUGUGCUGGCCAUGUCACACUAAAAUAAGUGUUAGAGGGCAGCAAUACUUCGUGGCAUGAAGUCGUGCCUCUCCCGAUAGUUAGUGGGUGCCCGGACGGAGUCCCCGUGGCGAUUUCGUGAACUUCCGCGAGUCUGGUAAUCCGUAUUGGAAACUGAUUCUGUGAGAUGUUUGGGUAUGCUUGGCUAGGGUUUCUUAACUGUGGUUAAGACACUAACCCAGGACCUCCUUAGGAUCCGUUGACAUUCUUUUGCAGUCAGGGAGACAGGCGCGGACAGUGUAUCAGGUGGGGUACUCGAUCCAACGUUGUGUACAUGUGGUGCAGCCGCUCCGUGAUGUUCUUACCCUUGGCUCUUUUUUUAAUUAUCCAUCGCUAUAUUAUUAUGUUGAGCUUUGCACCUCUAUUGAUUACAUUACACCAAACGUUGUUUUGAUUUAUAUCUCUACUCAAAGACGUUCUCCCCAUGCUUAGUAUCACGUGUAGGAUAAUGUCUAUCUUUUAUGAUACCAUGUUUCCUUUUGGCUCUACUUAGUAUUUCUUCAACCCUGUUUCAUGUUUACUAGUAAAGCGAGUUGCGUGAUUAUCUAUGAGCAUCAAGCGAUCUUACGUCGGUGAUUCCUACUAUUCACUAUUUGUGCACUGUAUUCGUGAAGUUCCUCGACACUUUCUUGUCUGAUCCCGUUAAGGUCGGUAAACCCUGCAGGUGGGCAUGUCGGUAUUGCCGACGGAUGACUUAUACUUUUACUCAUAUUCUAUACUUGUGACAUGGAUUGGUCGACUUCAUAGUUCUCUACCUUGUGACAUGAAUUGGUCGAGUUUCAUAUUUAUACUUGUGACCUGAUUGGUGAGUUUCAUAUCCUAGUUGAUCUUACGGGGUCCUCCUUGAGGUUCCAUUGACCAUAUUGCAUAUGUUUGAAGAUAUCGAUGUUGUUCCAUUCCUUAGUUGAAUGAGUGGUCCGGUUCUUUGCUUGCCUUACAGUUGACGACCUAUGCGGUCUGAUGGCACCCUGGGGCAGGAUUGGUCGCUGUUGACGACGGUUGAGCAUAUGAGCAUCACUUGCACUGAUCGCCCCCGAUACUCGUCGCAUUUCACCGAACACUGUGCGAUCUAUCCAGCACGCAAGAAGUGUUCUUUCCGGAAAGUGGUUGAAUGGUACUAACCGUGAAGCCUAUGAGGUUAUAUCACUGAAGAUAGUAGUGCCUGGCUUGAGUCCUGCGUGCUCGACCAAUGAGAGCAUUGGUUUCAGAUUGGGUUACUUUUGGACUUCUUUGGACCGUUGACGCUAUAGUUCCUAAUAGUACAGUCGUCGCAUCGAUAGCUUAAGAUCUUACCUACUAGUUAUCUUCUACUAUAGUAGAUAUCCAUGGUAUCUUUCUGUUCUAUGGUUACAGUAGCGUAGCCGUUUAUCAGCCUAUAGUUCUCACUCUCCUUCAGUUUAUCCUAUUGUUGAUCUUGCUCAUUACCGCUUGUUCAUUUCUCACUGACCCCAAUGUUGUUGUAUAUUCCUUUCCUGAUCGCGGUGAGUGUACGUCUCGCUUUUUCGACUUGCGGUACCGCACUGUGAGGGGAGCAGCAUGUUUUACAUUUCUCACCUCUCUCGCCACAAUUUUUUUCAGGUAUCGGGGCGUUGAGUAGUGGGGCGGAGAGCCAUGAGGUACGAUGGUGUAGCCGGUCGGGAUAGGAGCUGUCCGACCCAGGUUAUUCCGAUUGCUAUUACCACUUUUUAUUACUGUGGAUAUAUAUAUCGCUUAUCGGUUUAAAACAUGGUUUCAGUUUCUGUUUUAUUAUUUGAAUACUGAUUUUCAAGUUUGUUUUGAAAUGUAAUAAAGGAAUUGUGUUUUCUUGAAAUAGAAAAAGUUUCUACCGCCUCGUGGGUAGUGCAGGUUUCUUAAAGAAUAAAGGUUUCCGGUGUAUGAACAGUUUCAAAGAAUUUUCGUGAAUUUCUAUUUAAACAUUGAAGAUAAAACUUUGUGAUGUGAAUGGUGAAUGUAUGAAUGUAUAGUUUCAUCUUAUACUUCAUUUGGUUGUGGUUGUUUUCUCGCUAUAUCUGUACUUUGUGUUGCACGCCGGGUGCAAAAUACAGGGAACUCUGUCCGUGUGAACAGUGGAUUCGCCUAUAAUUUUGUGCGGAUUUGCAUACGCUUGGGGUCAGGUUGCACAAAAAAAAAAAAAAAAAAGAAAUUUCCGCUGGUUUUUAAACCUAAAGGACCCGGGCGUGACAUUGAUAUUUCUAAGACCGUUAAAACUUGCAACGGCUCAACUACACACCUUAAAAUUAUGAUUUUGAAGCCCUUCCGAAUUCACUGAGGGCGAAAUGUAUCGAAAAAUCAUUAACAUUUAUUUGCUAAAAUACUUCAAUACUUCUAUAUCAGUUUAACUGCCGUCGAGCCAUGUCGAGCUGGAGAGGGGUGCAACAUCGAAAACAGCCUGAAAGAGGAAGGCUCCGGCUUCCAAACAUAGUAGCCUUAACUUCCUAAUAUACACAACACCACAUCAACACACACAAACACACACACACACACACAUGCACAGGCUAACAGACACACACACCACAAUCACACACAAUCACAUACAUACAUACAUACAAUACAUAACUAUCAUAUAUGAUAUAUAAAUAUAUAUAUUAUAAUAUAUAUAAUAUAUACUAUAUUGCUUCCAAUGCGACGAUCCACACCGUUAAAUAUGAUCUACAGNNNNNNNNNNNNNNNNNNNNNNNNNNNNNNNNNNNNNNNNNNNNNNNNNNNNNNNNNNNNNNNNNNNNNNNNNNNNNNNNNNNNNNNNNNNNNNNNNNNNAAAAAAGAGAGGUUUCAUAAAUAUAUAUCUCGUUCGUCAUUAUCUCGUCUGCUACUGUAUUUUACUUACCUCAUACUGUUUGGUUAGUCCUUCCUAUCCGGUGAGUACUCCUCUAUGCCUUCUUCGGCUUGCGUAGCCCACUGGAGGGAAACAUGUUUACAUGUUCUCACCUCCCCCACCAUUUGUAAAGUAUCGGCGGGCGAUGAGUAGUGGACGUAACUUGAGGUACGGUUGUAAGCCGGUCGAUAGAGCUUUCCGAACCUCCGAGGUUAAUUUCGAUUUAGGUUAUCGCUCUGGUAAUUUUCUCUGUCUGAUAUAGUAUUGUUUAGUUGGUUUUGUGUUUCAGUAAUUAAUUUACAUUAUUCGAAAUGUAGAUUUCUGAUUUUUGUAAAAUAAAAAGUUUUCUAACCUCUCGUCGUAGCGUUUUUAAAAAGAAUAAAGAUUUCUGUGCUAAGGAAACAGCUUUAAAAGAGAUUUUUUGUUUGGAUUCUGUUAUACCUUGAAUGUAUAAUCUUGAUUGAAUGGUUGAAGUGUAUGAAUGUAUAGUUAUUUUAUAUUCAUCUGUUGUGGUGUUAUCUCUGUUGUAACUUGUUUGAUCGACGCCGUGCAAAUACAGGGGAGACUCUGUCCGUGUGAACAGUGGAUUCCCUGUAUUUGUGGCGGAUCUGGCAUACUCUGGGGUCAGGAUUUCAAAAAAAAAAAAAAAAAAUUCAGACGCUUUUCCGCUUUGUUUUAAACUGAAAAGGGACCCCGGGGCGUGACAGUCGCGGGGCGUGACAAUUGCUUACCCUCGUGUAAGCCAUUGUAUAUGUUUUCGCUAGUGCUUUUCUUAACUUGAAAUUGUACAGGUGAUGAGCCUUGGGCGGACAGGGGAAACUCUGUCCGUUCGGCGUCUGUUCGACGUGCCCAGACCGGCCCAAAUUGGUAUCGGUCCCAGGGCGUGACAUCGAUGUCAACCUUUCCUUUAAUUCCUUGAAACUCCGAUCGCAAUCGUCGCUCCAAACAUAUUUCACUCCUUUGUGUGUAAGGCGCGUUAGUGGAGUAGUUAUUUUAGCAAAUCCCUCCACGAACCGCCGGUAGUAUCUCGCAAGUCCAAGAAAACUACGAAUUUCCGCUACACUUGUCGGGCAAGGCCAAUCUUUAAUUGCCUCAACUUUCUUUGGAUCUACCGAGAUACCAUCACCCGAUAUAACAUGGCCUAAGAAGGUGACCUCCGAAAUCCAAAAUUCGCACUUCUUUAGCUUAGCAUAAAGCUUCUCUUUUCGGAGUAUUUCCAACACGGUCCUCAAAUGUUCCUCGUGUUCCUCCUCACUCCGAGAAUAAACCAACACAUCGUCAAUGAAUACCACGACGCAUCGAUCCAACAACGAUCGAAAGACUCGAUUCAUCAAGUCCAUAAAUGCUGCAGGGGCAUUAGUAAGCCCAAACGACAUUACCGUGAACUCAUAAUGGCCAUACCGCAUACGAUACGCCGUUUUGUGCACAUCCUUCGGCCGGAUCUUCAACUGAUGAUACCCAGACUGAAGAUCUAUCUUCGAAUACACCUUCGACCCUUACAACUGAUCGAAUAAAUCAUCAAUCCUCGGCAACGGGUACUUUUCUUGAUUGUCACUGUCACGCCCCGCCCCGAAAACACUACCAAUUUGGCACGAUUCGGCCGCGGGUGUACCUCCCCUGCCCGCGCAAGCUCAACCCAAGGAAUGUGUACAAGAAUUUACCCAGGAUUUAAAUUCUAACAUACACAUUCAACGAGUGGCACAACAGUGCAACAACAAAGAAGAGCCAAGUAAUUCCACAAGAUAUACGACGUGAAAUAGAGAUAUUUAUAACUUUACAAAGUUACAUUCUUUCCUUUACAUCAUUUUGCAAAAUGAUAUAACAUUGAAUCCUUCAAAAUACAUAGUCUCCAACUCAACCUACAUGAAUCUCUUUCAUACAUAGGUGUACUAUGUAAAAGCGGAAGUACUACUACCACGCCUCACUGAUGCGGCGCGAUUGCCUGCGCGGUCCUCUCUAGCAGGCCUGAAUUUACCCACUGGAAAUAGAGUGGGUGAGAACUUAUCUUCCAGAGUUCCUAGUGGCCUCGGCCGCGACUCUGCGAUCUCGCCACAUAGGUCCAAGUGGAAAGUAACAACAGAUAGGAAUUAGUAGAUAGAUAGUAUAUGUAUCUUGAAAGCUGUAAAUAGUAGUUAGGAAAACUAUGCUACUUGCCCAUAUCGUGAAUAUGAAUGCAGCAUAAUAAUAAAGGUAUUGUAGUAUUGCUAAACAAAAUUCAUCCAUGUUGAAUUAGUGUAUUCAAUGAUAUUUUAACCUUUAACCUGUUUAUAUUACCCAAUUCUGUGGCGAGGCCUAGGGCUCGCAUGACUCACCUUUUCAAAUCCCAUAUUGGGAGGGAGCUCAAUUGCACCCAAAGCCGGACCGUCUUCGACCUCAUGUGGUCCGGACGCCAGUGGUCCUAGUCGGCUACACUCCGGCAGUACUAGACGACAAUCCCCUCCAUUGUGGGGAUUGGAUGGUCUUAUACCAUCCUAAACGCAGACUGUGAGCUAGAUAUAUCCUCUCAAGGGAUACGACUGUAACUAGCGGUCAAACCAAUCCAAUCCUCUCCAAGUGAGGACUCUACAAUAGAGUCAAUGAUUGUCGCUGGAAUCAUGGUUUCGGCAUUCAUGCAAUGUUAUUUAGUUUUCUAAAUCAAUGUGUUCACAAGAAUUUUCUAAGGGAUCCACCUAUCCUAGGUCCAUCGACCUUCUAGUGUUAUUACACUAUCAUUAUGCCACUCGUUAUCAUUAAUUAUUUUGGAUGCCACUCGUUGUGUUUCUUUAAACAUAAACUAUUUUCUGUCGAUCAAUACGCCUCUUUUAUCUUUUCUUUCGCACCAUAGGAUUCACGCUCUCGACCAAUUCCUCAACCUAUCUAGAGUUACAAGGCGUUCAAUACACUAGCCUGUUAUCAAUUUAGAAAGCAUAAGAAUGCAGCUACUAUGCAUCUCACAAUGCCAACAUGUAAGAAUGAGAUUAAAUGCAAUCUAAACAUAGAAGUCGAGUUUCGAAAUUUCGGAUGCACACCCCUACUUUUAAUCGACUGUAAAGGCUUGGAAAAUCCUUCUCGCCGCGAGCUGCUAUGAAAUGCUUGGCCUUCUUUCGCGCGAGAUCAACACUAGCGCUCGAUUUGUGCCCGAGAAUUCACGUCGGUUCGCCGAAUGCCAAAAUCGACUUAGCCCCGCGUUUUUGGGACUAUCGAAUAGGGUUUCCAGCUUCAAAUGGAUCAUCUCAUACUUCCCACACUACAAUACCCCCCCUUUACAAAACCCCAUUUUGGAGCCCUAGAUUUGCACAUAGCAAAACACCAAUAAAUCCCUAAAUUUUUGAAUUCAUCUAUUUAGAAGCUAGCUUGGGUUAUUUGACCAUCCAAGCCAUAACCAAAAACCAGAGUUUUAUUAGCUAGGGUUUAGUAGAUGUACCUAAGAGUAAUUCCAAUAGGACAGAGGAGAGGGAGAUGGAGGUGCUCAAAGCCUUCCUCUUAUCUCCUUCUUCUUCUCCUUCCUUAUCUUCCUUUCUCUUAUCCUCUCCUUCUUGUUUUUUCUAUUCUUUCCUUUCUAAGAGACGAGAGAAGAGAGAGAGAAAUGAGAGUGAGAGAGAAAGUGUGAGGGAGAGAGAGGCUCAGUUCCCACUCAAAUUAAGGCAUUUUGCACAAAAGUCAACCACUUUCAAUCGUGCAUGCCCUGUGACUGCGACGCUAUUUAGUCGCGGUGGCGAGGGUACGGUCCCGGAUUGGGACCGUCCGCGAGAGCUGUCCCUGCGGGCGGCACGGCGGUUCGGGACGGAUGCUUCCCGGCGAGACCGGUCCUUCGGUGAGACCGUCCUCACCUGGUAGACCGGUCCCGAAGCUGAUUUUCAGGACUUAGCCAAUUUCGCGGAUCUUCGCUGGGACCACGUUCGGGAACCGGUCCCUCCCUACCAGGGACCGGUUGCAUCACGCAACCCCGCUACAUCCAGCCAGGGGAACCGGUCUCUCACCCCCAGAGACCGGUCCCCGAGAGUAAUCUUAGCCCAAUGAUGCAGUUUGCAUCAUUUGCUCUCGCGGACUCAACUCCAAGGCACUUUUUGUGCUUUGGACAUUCCCAACUCCCACAAAGGGUAUUCUCUCGACAGUCAGUCGAUCCUGGACGAAGUACAAUCCUCGUAUUUCGAGAAUUCACUUCCUUACAGUCACUUUGUUCAAUUCGCGAUAAUCCAUGCAGAGUCGAAGUGUGCUAUCCUUUUUCUUUACAAAUAGCACUGGAGCUCCCCACGGUGACACGCUCGGCCUCACAAAGCCUUUAUCGAGCAAGUCCUGUAAAUGAGCUUUCAACUCCUUAAGCUCCACCGGUGCCAUUCUAUACGGAGCCUUCGAAAUUGAUGCCGCCUCGGGAAUCAAAUCAAUGACAAACUCGAUCUCCCGGUCCGGUGGCAAUCCCGGUAACUCCGCCGAAAAUACAUCCGGAAACUCGUAUGCUACUCGAAUAUUCCCAAGUUCCGGGUGCUCCUUUUGAGUAUCUACCAUUGUUGCCAAGUAGGCCACACAUCCACCUUUAAUCAUUUUCCUCGCCCUCGCUGCCGAUACAGUCGUCGCGAAGCGCGAGCUUUUGCAUGCACGGUAUACUAUUUCCUCUUGAUUAGGCUCACGAAAUGUGAUCACUUUGCUUUCACAAUCGAUAACAGCAUAAUACUUGGUGAGCCAAUUGAUCCCCAAGAUUACAUCAAAUCCCCACAUUUGGUUUAGCACCAAUAAAUCUACUGGCAUAAUCCAAUCCCCUAUCUCAACCGGACAAGCCAAGCACUCCUCAUGCACCCUAAAUGAAUGCUCAGGUGCAUUGACCUACCAAUAAUCCGGGUUAUGUAUGAUCUCUAUGCCAUGAGUUUUUGCAAAUGAUGCACCAAUAAAUGAAUGCGAUGCACCUGUGUCGAAUAAAGCUCUAGCUCUAGUGCCAUUGAUCAAGAUAAUACCUGCCACGACAUCGUCAGGAACUGCAGGUUGCUCCUCCACCUGAGUGGCAAAAACCCGCCCACUCGGUGCUCGUGAUCCCUCUGGCUGACGGGGUGCGGAUGAGCGUCCAGCCAACAUAGCCGGCGGCAACCCCGCAAGCUGUCUCGGGGUAGAAGGAACUGAUGCCGUCGUCGGUGCAGACAACGCCCCACUUGGGCACUCCCGGGCCAUGUGCCCCGCUUGGCAACACAUGUAGCACUUUCCCUCGCGUUGCUGACAAGCCGACGGUCAAUGCUCAUCGCCGCAAAUAACGCAUCGGGAAGGCCUCCAAUUCUUUGAUUGCUGUCAGGGAUACUGAGGGGGUUUCUUUGCAUUCGGCCAGCCCCCGGCACCACCCGCCGCCCGCUUCUUUCCUUUGUCUCUCGACUCAGCCAUAGACUCGCGCUUCUCUCGCGCGUAGGCGUUGCCAUGCUCUGCCCACAAGGCUCGAUUAAAGAUGUCACCCCCCGCGACCAACCGCCUAUUUGGACAGGGUCGCGGCGCCAACGACAGACCGCCGAACGGACCGGGGAUUCCUUUGUAUGCGGACAGAGUCUCCCCAGUACGUCCAAGGCGUCGCAAUCCAAACAAUCAACGAAUGUUCCAACUAGGAACAGUAUCAAUCCAGAUUGCAUAAGGAAGUAUCAAAUACAUAAUCUACUUGCUAUUACAAGCAUUCAUUUUACAACCACUUUUUACAUCACAGUUUCUGUUUACAUUUUUACUUCCAAAUUACAAUCUCACUAUUACAUCAGAGUUAUCAAGUUUGAUACAUUUUCUUUUCUUGUCUUCUAGACCCCUAAGCUAGAUUGUCUCAGGAUACUGCUACCUCGGUCUCUGUGGUGGGGCGCUAUCUACUGAGCUACGCCCUCACCUCGCGCCGCCGCGCCGCGCACGAACAACCUGAAAACACCCCAAAACCACGUGGGGUGAGAACCAACUCCAUGGUUCCCAGUGGGUACGGCCACCCAAGGGAAAAGCUCGACCGACAGGUUCAAAGGAGGCAACUGCAGGUUAGUUUAAUAAACAGAUAGAUAGAUAUUUUGACUAUGCAAUUAAUAGAACCAUACCUUGCCUCGCAAUUGUAACAAUGCUAUGCAAUAUGCAAUACCUGUAAAUCAUGCAAGUAGAUUACUUGAUCUACUUUAUAUCAUUAACCAUACUUUACUUGUAGCCGUUCUUUUCUUUAUUAGCUAUUCACGUUCGUUAGUUAUUCUUUAUUCUUUACUCUUUGUCUUAUUGUGCUCACUGGCGAUUCUUUCCUAAGGUUAUUUUACCUUAGCCAUCUAUGCCACUCGACUCGGUCUCGAGUCAAUCAACUGCGGAUAGUCCGCACUCUGUCCGGCUCAAGGUGAAGGACCUCUCACUUACACCUCAGCCUUCAGUCUACAAACAUCUCGCCAACGGGUCGCCCAGAGCUGCGUACACCCGUGGUCAGGGAUCUUUCCGGUGGGAAGGGGAUUAUACCACAAACUCAACCCGCGGCCCAAGACCCCCGAUAGGGAAGGGGACAUGCCACACUCAACCCUAGCAAAGCACGAUUCUGCCGACAGGAGGGGGAACCUGCCACACUCGACCCGCGGCCUCGAAUCAGCCUCAAGCUCAUCCUCGAAGUUCGUCCAGUGGGAGGGGACCCUGUCACACUCAACCCACUGCUCUAGAACUGUCGAGUUCACAAUCCUAAGAUUCCGGAAUCUAUUUCCCAAGCCUCUAGGGUAAUCUCAAACCCUAUGAUAUCGACCUAUCUAGGUCCAAUGCACUUUCUGUCCUAGGUCUAGCUGACUCUAGGUUUAAUGCCUUUUUUCACAUAACCUAUGUUCUUUAAACUAGGUUAAGCCUCUCUACCUAGAUCUUAUUAACUCUAGGUUCAACAACACUAAGUUCAUUGUCAACCUAGGUUUACCAACACUAGGUUCGAUAUCGAUUUACCUAGACCUUGAAUCUAGGUUCAUUAUGUUCAACCUAUGUUCACGACACUAGGUUAAUGCCACUCGAUCUAGCCUAGGUUCACGACACUAGGUUUAACAUCAUUCAUAUUCAUCCUAGGUUCUUGACCCUAGGUUCAUAUUCGACCUAUGUUAAUUACACUAGGUUCGGCGCCACUCGAUCUAGUUGGCCCUACUUGUCCACAUCGAGUUUCUAUAAUCAUAUAUACUCUAGCAUGCAUUCUAUGAUGCCGACAUGCAUCUACAUUUAACAUAGCCUACAUUAUCAUCGUGCAUGUUAUACAUGUAUAGCUUUUCUCAUCAUGUCAAUAAGCAUUAUCCUCUCGCAUGCAUUUUCAUAAGGUCAAUAUGCUCUUGUCAUCUAACUUGUAUUCACAUGAUGCACUUAUGCAUUUUAUCCAACCGCACUUACAUGCUCUAUUAUGAGUUGACAUGAACUAGCACUUGCAUAUAAUUCCAAUGCAUCAACAUGCCAUUAGCAACUAGCAUAAUUACUAUCAUUUAGUACAUGCAUCUUAACUAACAUGCUCACAUAAUGUUACAUGCACCUAGCAUACAUUCCAAUGCACAAAUAUAUCGCUUGUAUCUAGUUACUAGCAUGUACUUCCCAAUGCAUUAUUAUGCAAUUAUCACUAAACAUUACCCAACAUGAUCUCAUAACUCAUAAGGUUAACAAUAGGUUAACAUUCAUUUAUAUGCUCAUGUUCUCUAAUACAUGUCAACAUGAAUCUCAUAAUGCUAAAUGCCCCAAGCAUGUAUUUCACUAAGCAUACAUACUAAUAUGCAAAUUACCAACUAGCAUGCAUUUAUACAAUGCAAAUAUGCCCGUAUGCACAUACAUAUAUGCAUCAACCAAAAAUCCAUAUUUCGCUUUGACAUGUGGGGCGACCAAGUCGCUUCGGUAAGCACAACCCACCUUAACACGCGUUCCGAUUGCUUGUCGACACUUGCAAUCGGCCGCCCGCGGCACCCGGCACCCGGUUUGGCCCGAUCUCACAAUUGCGGUCCAAGAGCGCGCCGCUUCGCUGUUUCAAGUGUAGAAGCUCUUCGCCACGCUAACACGAUGCCUCAAAUCCAUUUCCAUGAUUUUACGACGUCGCCUCGGCCCUCCCGGCGGACCCGAAGCCUAAACGUCCGUUUCUUUAAUAACUUCGCAACGGCUCGUCGGAUUGCCGAACCGUCUUCGCCAACGCGUUUCGUUACCUAGCAAUUAGGUUUACGGAUGGUCAAAUUAGAUCAAACCCUCAUAUUUUGAAAAUUAGCAUUUUGGAGCCCUAGGUUAUAACUAUGCAAGAAAUCACCAAAUUGAUUCAUGAUUUAAGCAUCAUUCAUCUAGAUAGCAAGCUAGGAUUCCUCUAAAUCUAUUUAUAAGCUAUUUAAACCAACCAUUAAGGAUCUACCAUGAGAGGGCUCAAGAAGCUCACCUCAAAAUUAGCUCCAAAUCAUGGAGAAGAUGAAGAAGACAAUGGUGAUCCACUCCCGAGCUUCAAUCUCCACCAAUUCCUUUAAAUUUUGGAGAGAUUUAGAGAGAGAAAGAGAGGGUUUUCUUUUCUCCUUCCAUGCGUGUGUGUGUUGUGUGCGUGUGAUGUGUUCGGCUGGGAGGAAGAAGAAGCAAAGGGGAUUUAAUCCCUUUUUACCAUUUUGCCCUCAACUACACACUAUUCAUUACGGGCAGCUUGAAAUCUGAUAAAUUUCGUUGGAGCCCUUCUGAAUGUCCGAUUGAGCUCAAAUUUGACAGGCAUGUUCGGUUUUACUUAAUGAGUCCAAAGAAAUUUUAAUAUUUCAGUUUCGACCCCGUUUGGUCACCGAAAGCUGUACCGAACUGUAAUCUUUAUCAAAUAGCUUUCGGAUUCUACUUUUCACCUUCCGGGUGUCAGAAUGGCAUGGAACUUUAAAUCUAGCAUCAUAAAAAUAUUUCUGACAUCUCCGCUAAUUUUCAUAAUUUUCUGACACUGUGCAUUUUCUGCUAAUUUAUCUGCCCCGUUUCUUACAGAAAAUUCUAAAUCUUCUGUUGUCGCUCCGAUUUCAGCACAGGUCAUUUCCAACUUAUACUUUACACCCUUAAAUCCAAUAAAAAUAGUAUCUCAUACUAUUUUUAUUUAUUUUCACUUUUAUAUUUAAAAUCCGGUAUGUUACAUUCCGCCGCAACCUCACCGGAGCCAUU